rnacentral:rRNA from 1 species
AACACGGAGCUUGCUCUGUGGGAUCAGUGGCGAACGGGUGAGUAACACGUGAGCAACCUGCCCCUGACUCUGGGAUAAGCGCUGGAAACGGCGUCUAAUACUGGAUAUGUGACGUGACCGCAUGGUCUGCGUCUGGAAAGAAUUUCGGUUGGGGAUGGGCUCGCGGCCUAUCAGCUUGUUGGUGAGGUAAUGGCUCACCAAGGCGUCGACGGGUAGCCGGCCUGAGAGGGUGACCGGCCACACUGGGACUGAGACACGGCCCAGACUCCUACGGGAGGCAGCAGUGGGGAAUAUUGCACAAUGGGCGCAAGCCUGAUGCAGCAACGCCGCGUGAGGGACGACGGCCUUCGGGUUGUAAACCUCUUUUAGCAGGGAAGAAGCGAAAGUGACGGUACCUGCAGAAAAAGCGCCGGCUAACUACGUGCCAGCAGCCGCGGUAAUACGUAGGGCGCAAGCGUUAUCCGGAAUUAUUGGGC